CAUGAAACUAGUUCAAGUGGAAGAAAACAUUAUACAUUGAAAGAUCUUCAUCAGUUGCAAGAACAUGUCUCUGAUAAACCCAAAACUCUUCCAGCAUUCUUUCUGAAUCGUAUCUAUCAGCAUGGGACACCAUGGCAGUAUGGCUCUUUGUGCCUUUGGAUUCAACGCAUCCUUUGCGAUUUUUUUUAUACCGCAUCUCAUUAGUAGCAAUCACCACUCUGAUAUGUCAACUUAAAGUACGUAUAAAUUCCUUUUAUCAAAUAUAUAUCCACGAAAAUUCGAUUAGGAUGGUUUCUACAACAAGACCAUUUGUAUCCAUUUGAUUUUUUAUAUUAUAUAGGUAUAUGUUUCAGCAGUAUAUGUAGCUUAACAUUAAUUUACUUUCUCUGUCUUAGUUAACAAUUAUAAUGCAUAGUUAGAUUAAGUGUAUAUGAAGCUUCAUGGAAACCCGUACGAGAGAUCAGGACGGUCACUAGAUUGUACAAUCAAGAACUUAGUAUAUGUACACACACACAUAUAUAUAUAUAUCAAUUAAACAAAACCGUACGUUCUAAUUACUUAAUUUUAUGAAAUCAAGAAUCUAAUCUUAUAAGAAAAUCUGCAGGCCUGUUGCCAGAAUAAACAUGGACCCAUGUUCUCUAUGUCCUACGAUGUGUAUCAAAU
rnacentral:lncRNA from 1 species